UCGACAUACGUCUUAAACCACUCACGGCGCACGAUAAUCUUUCCGGCGUCAACUAAUUUCUCAACUAACCACUGAACCACCGUAACACGAUGUCAUCACCACCGCCAUCACUUCCAGUCACCAACAACCAAUCCACCACCACACCGUCAAUCGCCACCCCCGCUCUCCGCUCCUUCAUCUCCCGCCUCUCCUCCUCCCUCCGCCACUCCUUCUCCCAACGCCGCCCGUGGUCGGAGCUCGUCGACCGCUCCGCCUUCUCCCGUCCUGAAACCCUAACCGAUGCCGUUUCACGCAUCCGCAAAAACUUCCUCUAUUUUCGAAUCAACUACACAUCUCUACUCGCCGUUAUUCUUGCUUUCUCCCUCCUCUCUCAUCCUUUCUCUCUCAUCAUCCUUCUCUCUCUCCUCGGCGCGUGGCUCUUCCUCUACCUCUUCCGACCGUCCGAUCAGCCGCUCGUCAUUUCCGGCCGUACGUUCUCCGAUCGCGAAACGCUACUAAUUUUAAUCGUCUUCACUCUCAUCGCUGUUUUCCUAACGGAAAUCGGAUCGGUUAUGAUUUCUGCUGUUUUAGUUGGAUUAGCGAUUGUGUGUGUUCACGGAGCGUUUAGAGUUCCGGAAGAGCUGUUUUUUGAUGAUCAGGAGCAGAGUAACGGCGGAUUGCUUUCGUUUCUCGGUGGCGCCGCGUCUUCUACCGUCGUAGCUCCGCCGGUUGCACGUGUUUGAUAAUUGAGCAUCCUGUGUUUAUCGUGAGCGAUCAAGGGCCUGUGACAACAUGAAUCCGAUGUGACGCGUUUGAUAAUUGAGAGCCAAAGAAUCGAGCUUAGGCCGGAGCCUGUGAUCGAGGGUUUGGAUCUUGUCUGAGAGUUGGGGAAUCGUCCUGCAAAAACAGAAAACCGUUAGGCUCGUCGCAGAGAUGGGAGGGCCCCUCUGCGACUACCAUCCGGCGUGAGGAUAAGUAUUGGUAGAGAGAGAAAGUAGAGAGAUAAAAUAGUGACGAAGGUUCAGAAAAUCGUCCUUGGCGUUGUACUUUGGUGAGGUAUUUAUAGUGGUCAACUGAGAUGACGUCAUUCGUCCAGGCGCACUUGAAUGACAGUUCGUCCUCGGAGUCAUGGAGGGAACGGACAUUCCUUAGAUGUCCGUUCAGGAAGGGAGACGUACAUAUCCGGUCCGUCCUGAAGGAUCAUGUCCGCCCUCGGAUAUGUAUCUUCAGUUUGCAAAACCUAAGAUUUUUUUACAUAUCUGAUUGUUUUGUUUGCAACCGUUUCACAUACGCUUGCUAUCUUCUCUGCAUAUCCUGCCUUCAUGACAGCCACAAUGUACGUCUCCUUUUUGUCAUCAUCAUACGGAAGGUAGAGAAAGAAAUGGCUAUUUAAAAGGGAAAUUAUGACCAACGGGUCGAAAGUCGAAAUGUAUUCAAAUGUUCACACAACUCUUCCUGCUUAUCAAUAAGUGACGGGUCUUGUAGAAUAUUGCAACUUUUGGUAUUUAGCACAUAUACAAUUGCUUUGGAACAACU